GCCCGUGAAAGAAGAAAAGCCAGAGCAAGAGGAACCGGAGCCACAGACUGCAGAAAGCCCCAAAGCAGCC
rnacentral:ribozyme from 1 species